CUGGUUGAUCCUGCCAGUAGUGUAUGCUUCUCCUAAAGACUAAGCCAUGCAUGCCUUCGAAUAAGAAGAGUGUCUCUCUCUGAAUCUGCGUACGGCUCCGCAAACCAGUUGUAAACUAUAGCAAACAGAUCGUCGGGGUAGCCUAAAAACUCAGCUGAUGGUCUACAAGGAUAUCCCUGGUAAUUCUGAGGCUAAUACAAGAACGUACUCACCUGUCUGGGGGCAAUUUUUUAAUCCCCGGGUCGGGGGCGCGCGGUCUUAGUCGCAAAUUUCUGGGAAUAGCCGCAUGCUCGGACCACCAUACAAGCAGACCGGUCAGGAACCUUCGGGGGAAUGGCCCGCCUGGGUGGCUUUUGCGGUGUGCAUCUGACCUAUCAACUAGAUGGCAGCAUAAAGGACAUGCUAUGGUAACAACGGGUACAGAGGAUAAGGGCUCGAUCCUGGAGAGUGGGCCUGAGAGAUUGCUCACACUUCUAAGGAAGGCAGCAGGCGCGCAACGUUCCCAUUGGGCAAUGCCCGAGGGCGUUAGGGGACAUAUGAAUGUCUGCCAAUUGGUGGACAAUUCAAAUGGGUCUGUUCUAAACAGCCUCUCGAGUAACAAUUAGAGGACAAGUCUGGUGCCAGCACCCGCGGUAAUUCCAGCUCUAAUAGCAUACGUUAAAGUUGUUGCAGUUAAAACGCUCGUAGUCGGCGCAAGACCUUCAGAGCCCUGGGUUUGCGAACUGGGUCCGUUGCUCCGGUAAAGGGCACGCCAGCAAGCAUCUCGGGGGGACGUCGGUCAAAUGUGCUAGUGACUGUCUCUUAGGAGUCACAGGACUUUGGAGGCUCUGCCACCGUUGUUCGGUCCUAGUACCAUUUACCAUGACGAAACUGGAGUGAUCGAAGCAUGACGCUAAGUCACAUACAGCAUAGCAUGGUAUAGACUCACUGGUCCGGUUUGCGAACCCGGGUUGGUAGUCGCGAAAGGGGUGUUCGAGGGUGACCGAAUUGCCGGGCGAGUGGUGAAAUACGUUGACCCUGGCAAGUCGACCAAAGGCGAAAGCAGUCAUCAAGGGCACACCCGUUGAUCAAGAGCGAAAGUUAAGGGUUCGAAGACGAUCAGAUACCGUCGUAGUCUUAACUAUAAAUGAUACAGACCAGGGAUAGGACACUGUCCAUCUCGACUUCUCCUGGACCUUUGAGAAAUCAUAGUCUUUGGGUUCCGGGGGGAGUAUGGUCGCAAGGCUGAAACUUAAAGGAAUU
rnacentral:rRNA from 1 species